rnacentral:rRNA from 1 species
AUAAGAGGUCCAGCCUGCCCAGUGACAUUGUUUAACGGCCGCGGUAUCCUAACCGUGCGAAGGUAGCGUAAUCACUUGUCCUUUAAAUGAGGACUAGUAUGAAUGGCAUCACGAGGGUUAUUCUGUCUCCUUUCUCUAAUCAGUAAAACUAAUCUCCCCGUGAAGAAGCGGGGAUAUAUAUAUAAGACGAGAAGACCCUAUGGAGCUUUAAACAAAACAACAUUUGUUAAUUCUACCCCUAAAUUUCAGAAAAAUAAUUUUUAUUUUAACAUUGUGUUUGUUAGUUUUAGGUUGGGGUGACCGCGGAGAAAAAAGUAACCUCCACAUUGAAGGGGGCUUCCCCUAAACAGAAAGUCACAACUUUAAGUAUCAACAAAUUGACAUCAAUUGACCCAAUAUUUUGAUCAACGAAACAAGUUACCCUAGGGAUAACAGCGCAAUCCACUUCGAGAGUCCCUAUCGACAGGUGGGUUUACGACCUCGAUGUUGGAUCAGGG